rnacentral:rRNA from 1 species
ACGGAAGGCAGCAGUGGGGAAUAUUGGACAAUGGGGGAAACCCUGAUACAGCGACGCCGCGUGAGUGAAGAAGUAUUUCGGUAUGUAAAGCUCUAUCAGCAAGGAAGAAAAUGACGGUACUUGACUAAGAAGCUCCGGCUAAAUACGUGCCAGCAGCCGCGGUAAUACGUAUGGAGCAAGCGUUAUCCGGAUUUACUGGGUGUAAAGGGAGCGUAGACGGCAAAGCAAGUCUGAAGUGAAAUCCCGGGGCUCAACCCCGGAACUGCUUUGGAAACUGUUUAGCUAGAGUGCAGGAGAGGUAAGCGGAAUUCCUAGUGUAGCGGUGAAAUGCGUAGAUAUUAGGAGGAACACCAGUGGCGAAGGCGGCUUACUGGACUGUAACUGACGUUGAGGCUCGAAAGCGUGGGGAGCAAACAGGAUUAGAUACCCUGGUA